UACGUAGGGAGCAAGCGUUGUCCGGAAUCAUUGGGCGUAAAGCGCGCGUAGGUGGCCCCAUAAGUCCGCUGUGAAAGUCAAAGGCUCAACCUUUGAAAGCCGGUGGAUACUGUGGGACUAGAGUACGGAAGAGGCGAGUGGAAUUCCUGGUGUAGCGGUGGAAUGCGCAGAUAUCAGGAGGAACACCAAUAGCGAAGGCAGCUCGCUGGGACGUUACUGACACUGAGGCGCGAAAGCUAGGGGAGCAAACAGG
rnacentral:rRNA from 1 species